rnacentral:rRNA from 1 species
UAGCGUAUAUUAAAGUUGUUGCAGUUAAAACGCUCGUAGUCGGAUUUCGGGGCGGGCCGACCGGUCUGCCGAUGGGUAUGCACUGGCCGGCGCGUCCUUCCUUCCGGAGACCGUGCCUACUCUUAGCUGAGCGGGUUCGGGAGACGGAUCGUUUACUUUGAAAAAAUCAGAGUGUUUCAAGCAGGCAGCUCGCUCUUGCAUGGAUUAGCAUGGGAUAAUGAAAUAGGACUUUGGUGCUAUUUUGUUGGUUUCGAACACCGAAGUAAUGAUUAACAGGGACAGUCAGGGGCACUCGUAUUCCGUCGAGAGAGGUGAAAUUCUCAGACCAACGGAAGACGAACCACUGCGAAAGCAUUUG